rnacentral:rRNA from 1 species
UGAGCAAUCUGCCCUUCUCUUUGGAAUAAGCGUUGGAAACGACGUCUAAUGCCGAAUACGACCUCCUUUCGCAUGAUCGGAGGUGGAAAGCUCCGGCGGAGAAGGAUGAGCUCGCGGCCUAUCAGCUAGUUGGUGUGGGUAAUGGCCCACCAAGGCGACGACGGGUAGCCGGCCUGAGGAGGGUGACCCGGCCACACGUGGGACUGAGACACGGCCCAGACUCCGUACGGGGAGGNAGCG